rnacentral:rRNA from 1 species
CCUACGGGAGGCAGCAGUGAGGAAUAUUGGUCAAUGGGCGAGAGCCUGAACCAGCCAAGUAGCGUGCAGGAAGACGGCCCUACGGGUUGUAGACUGCUUUUAUGAGGGGAUAACGUGCGCCACGUGUGGUGUAUUGCAGGUACCUCAUGAAUAAGGACCGGCUAAUUCCGUGCCAGCAGCCGCGGUAAU